UCUCUGUACCCACAUCGUCUUCCUCCCCUUGCCAUACUCUGUACCAGGCCGUCCAGCUGCGCGCUAGGGUUCGGGAAGUCUGCUCCGUCGCCUCUCUCGCCCCCUCUCCUGGACUUUCUCCGACUUCUAUCUUGGACCUAGUUCCGGCGCCGUUGAAGCACGAGCUCCCCUCCUCUCCUCUGAGUCGCGCCCGACGAAGACGCCAUUGCCGCCGGCGAGCACGUAAAUGUAGAGGAGUUGUGCUGUAGCUCCUGGGGGCGAAGAGGAACUGCCCAAAGGAGUCAGCUAUCUUCUGCGCCUCGAGGAUUUUAGGUUGAAUAGUACCUAGCCAUCGUCCUUUAUAGCUCAGGAUCCAAGGUAUGAGCAUCGAAUUUGGUUGUUCUGUUAUCCAUGUACAGUAUAUUUGCUUCCUCCAGGCCAUUCAGUUUCCAUGUGUUUGAAGCCAAUGGCAUUUGGGAAUAUGAAUAGUAUGGGCACAAAAUUGAUCCGUUGGAUGUUGGUGAAAUUCUAGUAGUAAUCACAACAGCCGGUGCAAAUAGUUGAGGGGGAUGUGCUCUGUGUGUUCUGUUCCUUUGUAUACAAUUUUUUUUUAUACCUUUGCUAACUUGAUAGUAAGGUGGACAACUCGGCAUGUAUGUGAAAUAAAUGACUUCCUAGGAGCCUACUACAUGGCAAGAGUGGGUUAGUUACUGGUUGUUCCUACGGGGUUCUUGUACAUGAACUAGUAAUGUACUAUAUGAACUUCUUCCACAUUGCUGAUAUGAAAUGGGAACGGCAUUUGCAAUGUUCAAUUAAACUUUCUAUGGUAAUCCUAGUUGUUCAUGUUCCUCAUUUUGUUUUGCUGAUGUCCACAUUGUACCUAUGCUCUUAAGUAAAAAGUAUUGAUGUGUUUUGCCUGGUACGAGGUUAAUUAUCCACUUUUUAACCUGCGUGUGAUGUUUUGUGUUAUAUUUGCAUGAAAAAUAGUCAGCCAUGGAGUCCAUGACAAGUGGUGCUCUAAGUAUUGGGUCAACUACGGCAAUGGGAGUUGAAGAUGAUGCCAACAGCUUUGCCAUGGGCACGAUCCAGCAGGUCGAAAACAAUGAAAAUAGCUACCACACGCCAACACGAACUAACAGUCUUCCGUUUUGUGGGUCAAGAUAUGAGCCGGAGUGUGAUCCUAACUUACAGCCCGUAAUUGGUAUGCAAUUUGACACUUGGGAGGAAGGUAUGACAUUCUACAAAAUGUAUGCUCAUGAAGUCGGGUUCUCGGUUCGCACAUGGACGACACACAAAGAUGAACAUGGCGUACUGUGGAAGAGGUUUGUUUGUGCUAGGGAGGGUUGGAGAAAGGAGGCCCCAGAAGAGGAAAGGAUAAAACCUAAACGAAAAUUCAAGUUAACCAGGUGUGGUUGUGAGUAUGAUUGGACUGAGGAGGCAGGAUGAUGGCAAAUAUAAGGUUGCCCGGUUUGUUCAAUCACACACUCACCAACUUAUUUCGCCAAGUAAGAGACAUCUCAUCAAGUCAAAUAGGGAAGUAAGUAGUGAGUUGAGGAGCAAACUACUUACAUGUCAUAAAGCAAUGGUUGGCACAUCUGCAGCAUAUCGCUUGCUUAGUGUAGAGAAGGGGGGUCCGGAAAAUGUGGGCUGCACGUCAGCUUAGUGUAAUGAAAUUCCUAGUCAAUAUGUGUUGCAUAGGUGGACUAAAAUGGCAGCACGUCAGCUUUCCUAUGACGCCAACGGACAUGAGCUAGAAGGCCCAUCUACAUGUCUUUCACCUACCAUAAAAAAGUUGUACUCGGAAACAUGUUCAAAAUUUAGCUUGGCACUUCAUGCAGCGAAACAUUGUGAGGAGAAAAUGAGAUAUUUUCACAAGGUUGUUGGUGAUGCCUUCACGCAAUUGGAACAGAUGGGUGCCAUUAGUGAGCAAAGUAAAGUUCAAGAAUUUGAAUCCUUCGUCGAAACAUCAUUCCCAAGUGUGAUCAGUAUUCAUCCACCAGAUGUAGCAAACACAAAAGGGAGUGGUAAGAGAUUGAAAAGGGGUUCAGAGCAAACAGUGAACCAAAAGAAGAAGAGGGCAAAUAGCAUCCAAAAGGUUCCUGAUAAGUAGGGGCGGUGGUUUCACUAAUUUGAUGUUGGAAUAAUUAUGUGAAGUCAUUCAGCUGGCUACAUUCUUGCUGGAAAUGGCAGUGAUAUUCAUAGGCGAUGAGGUUUUCGACUUUUGGUGCUUCCAGGAGCUCACAUUUUGCAAAUGUGUCACUGAAGCAUGCAUAUGUUCUAUGUCUGUAACUCUGGAUGUGGUCACUGUUAGCUUCAGGAAGUCGCUAACAGUAAACCAUGUUGUCCCAUUAGCCAUGUUUAACCAGGAAGAAAAGAUUGUAUGACCGGGCAACGAAUUGCUAAGCCUAGCUUAAUGUAGGUUUUAAGAUUUGGUUUGUCUUUCUGUGUUAUUGUCGCAGCUGUAGCCAGCUUGCUAUAUGUCGUGCUCAUGUGAACACUUUCCGAAUUAGGGCAACCUUAUUACUAUGUGUAUUGAGCACCGUUCAUUUAUUUUCCUCUGUUUUUUGUUGCUC